UACGUAGGAGGCAAGCGUUGUCCGGAAUCACUGGGCGUAAAGCGCGUGUAGGUGGAAGAGGAAGUCUGCUGUGAAAGCGCCUGGCUUAACCGGGCGAGGUCGGUGGAAACUCCUCAUCUAGAGGUCGGUAGAGGGGGGUGGAAUUCCGGGUGUAGUGGUGAAAUGCGUAGAGAUCCGGAGGAACACCUGUGGCGAAGGCGGCCCCCUGGGCCCGCACCUGACGCUGAGACGCCGAAAGCGCGGGGAGCGAACGGG
rnacentral:rRNA from 1 species